AACAGGAUUAGAUACCCUGGUAGUCCGCACGGUAAACGAUGGAUGCCCGCUGUUGGUCUGAAUAGGUCAGCGGCCAAGCGAAAGCAUUAAGCAUCCCACCUGGGGAGUACGCCGGCAACGGUGAAACUCAAAGGAAUUGACGGGGGCCCGCACAAGCGGAGGAACAUGUGGUUUAAUUCGAUGAUACGCGAGGAACCUUACCCGGGCUUGAAUUGCAGAGGAAGGAUUUGGAGACAAUGACGCCCUUCGGGGCCUCUGUGAAGGUGCUGCAUGGUUGUCGUCAGCUCGUGCCGUGAGGUGUCGGCUUAAGUGCCAUAACGAGCGCAACCCCUUUUUCCGGUUGCCAUCAGGUGAUGCUGGGCACUCCGGGGACACUGCCACCGUAAGGUGUGAGGAAGGUGGGGAUGACGUCAAAUCAGCACGGCCCUUACGUCCGGGGCUACACACGUGUUACAAUGGCAGGUACAGAGAGCCGGUCGUAUGCAAAUACGAUCAAAUCCUUAAAGCCUGUCUCAGUUCGGACUGGGGUCUGCAACCCGACCCCACGAAGCUGGAUUCGCUAGUAAUCGCGCAUCAGCCAUGGCGCGGUGAAUACGUUCCCGGGCCUUGUACACACCGCCCGUCAAGCCAUGAAAGCCGGGGGCGCCUGAAGUCCGUGACCGCAAGGAGCGGCCUAGGGCGAAACUGGUAAUUGGGGCUAAGUCGUAACAAGGUAGCCGUACCGGAAGGUGCGGCUG
rnacentral:rRNA from 1 species